GCGCCGCUGGUCUAGUGGUAUGAUUCUCGCUUAGGGUCCCAACCCGAGUUCAAACUCAAAUUUGAGUUGCGAGAGGUCCCCGGUUCAAUCCCGGGGUGGCGCC